rnacentral:rRNA from 1 species
AAACUCCUCACUCUGUAUUAAGCAAUUCUAUACUUCUAUAGAAGAUUUUAUGUUAAAACUAGUAACAAGAAGACAGACCUUCUCUCAAAUGUAAAUGUAAAUCAAUAAAGGACAAACCACUGAUAUUUAACGCUCGUGAACCCGAAGUAACAACCAAUCAAGAAAACCCUACUUUAAUUGACGUUAACCUAACACAAGAACAUUUCAAGAAAGAUUAAAAGAAAAAGAAGGAACUCGGCAAACUUUAACCUCGCCUGUUUACCAAAAACAUCACCUCUUGAUAAAUAAUAAGAGGCCCAGCCUGCCCAGUGACCCAAUUCAACGGCCGCGGUAUCCUAACCGUGCGAAGGUAGCGUAAUCACUUGUUCUUUAAAUAAGGACUAGUAUGAAUGGCAUCACGAAGGUUAUACUGUCUCCUUUUUCCAAUCAGUGAAACUAAUCUCCCCGUGAAGAAGCGGGGAUAAAAUCAUAAGACGAGAAGACCCUAUGGAGCUUCAAACAACACAACAAAUGCCAAACUAAUCUCGUAACCCUAAAUCUCCGUGGCAUUAUGAUUGUUAGUUUUAGGUUGGGGUGACCGCGGAGCAAAAUACAACCUCCACAUUGAAAGAAUUUUAUUCUAAGCCGAGAAUCACAACUCAAAGCAUCUAUAUACUGACAUUAAUUGACCCAAUAAACUUGAACAACGAACCAAGUUACCCUAGGGAUAACAGCGCAAUCUACUUCAAGAGCCCAUAUCGACAAGUAGGUUUACGACCUCGAUGUUGGAUCAGGGUCUCCAAGUGGUGCAGCCGCUACUAAAGGUUCGUUUGUUCAACGAUUAAUACCCUA